CUUGAGUGCAGAAGUCAGUUCCAAAAAUAACAGUGAACACUUGUGCUGAAAUUCUCAGGAAGGAUGAAGCAUGAGAAUCAGCCUGAAGAUGAAGAAAGCUAAUGGGAAUAUGUCAACAAAUCUCUCUCUGUUUCCUGGAGCACUUGAUGUGUUUAUAUGCACAUUCUCCUUGGAAGGCCAGGAACAUUUUGUUCGGUGAUUUGAGAAGGGAUGUGGAUGGAUGCCAUGCUCGAAGCCUGUUUUCAUAUCUCCUAUCAGCACUUGAGUUUACAAUUAACUUGAUCCAUGCAAGUAGAGCCAUUGAUUCUGGACUAAGCAGAAACCUGGCUAUCUUCUUGAAUUAAGGCCUCAGGUUGGAAGAGAACCAGUAAAUGUUAUCAGGCAGAAGCAAAGGUUAUUUUAAGAUGCAAGGAGAUAUUCCAAGGAAUGGUUCACUGGAUCAUUUGGGACCUAUUUCCACGUACUGCUCUGAGUAGAUGUUCUUGCUCAACUUCUA
rnacentral:lncRNA from 12 species